rnacentral:rRNA from 1 species
UACGUAGGGUCCGAGCGUUGUCCGGAAUUAUUGGGCGUAAAGGGCUCGUAGGCGGUCUGUCGCGUCGGGAGUGAAAACUUACAGCUUAACUGUGAGCGUGCUUCCGAUACGGGCAGACUAGAGUGCGGUAGGGGAGACUGGAAUUCCUGGUGUAGGCGGUGAAAUGCGCAGAUAUCAGGAGGAACACCGGUGGUGUAAACGGCUUCUGGACCAUAACUGACGCUGAGGCACGAAGCGUGGGUAGAAACAGG